rnacentral:rRNA from 1 species
UACGGAAGGCAGCAGUGGGGAAUAUUGCACAAUGGGCGCAAGCCUGAUGCAGCCAUGCCGCGUGUAUGAAGAAGGCCUUCGGGUUGUAAAGUACUUUCAGUCGUGAGGAAGGCGUUAAGGUUAAUAACCUUAGCAAUUGACGUUAGCGACAGAAGAAGCACCGGCUAACUCCGUGCCAGCAGCCGCGGUAAUACGGAGGGUGCGAGCGUUAAUCGGAAUUACUGGGCGUAAAGGGCACGCAGGCGGUUAAUUAAGUUGGAUGUGAAAUCCCCGGGCUUAACCUGGGAAUGGCAUUCAAGACUGGUUAGCUAGAGUCUUGUAGAGGGGGUAGAAUUCCAUGUGUAGCGGUGAAAUGCGUAGAGAUGUGGAGGAAUACCGGUGGCGAAGGCGGCCCCUGGGACAAAGACUGACGCUCAUGUGCGAAAGCGUGGGGAGCAAACAGGGAUUAGAUACC